rnacentral:rRNA from 1 species
UACGUAGGCAGCAAGCGUUGUUCGGAGUUACUGGGGCGAAAGGGUGUGUAGGCGGUUCUCAAGUUUGGUGUGAAAUCUCCCGCUCAACUGGGAGGGUGCGCCGAAAACGGAGAGCUAGAGUACUGGAUGGGAGAGUGGAAUUCCUGGUGUACGGUGAAAUGCGUAGAUAUCAGGAGGAAUACCGGUGGCGAAGGCGGCUCACUGGCCCGAUACUGACGUGAGGCACGAAAAGCGUUGGGGG